UACGUAGGUGGCAAGCGUUGUCCGGAUUUAUUGGGUUUAAAGGGUGCGUAGGCGGUUCUAUAAGUCAGUGGUGAAAUCCGGCAGCUCAACUGUCGAUGUGCCAUUGAUACUGCAGAACUUGAGUACAGACGAGGUAGGCGGAAUUGACGGUGUAGCGGUGAAAUGCGCAGAUAUCGGGAAGAACACCCGUGGCGAAGGCGGCUCUCUGGGACGGUACUGGACGCUGAGACGCGAAAGCGUGGGGAGCGAACAGG
rnacentral:rRNA from 1 species